CCUACGGGGUGCUGCAGUGGGGAAUAUUGGACAAUGGGCGAAAGCCUGAUCCAGCCAUGCCGCGUGUGUGAAGAAGGCCUUCGGGUUGUAAAGCACUUUCAGUGGGGAAGAAAGCCUUGGGGCUAAUACCCUCGAGGAAGGACAUCACCCACAGAAGAAGCACCGGCUAACUCCGUGCCAGCAGCCGCGGUAAUACGGAGGGUGCGAGCGUUAAUCGGAAUUACUGGGCGUAAAGCGCGCGUAGGCGGUCUGAUAAGCCGGUUGUGAAAGCCCCGGGCUCAACCUGGGAACGGCAUCCGGAACUGUCAGGCUAGAGUGCAGGAGAGGAAGGUAGAAUUCCCGGUGUAGCGGUGAAAUGCGUAGAGAUCGGGAGGAAUACCGGUGGCGAAGGCGGCCUUCUGGACUGACACUGACGCUGAGGUGCGAAAGCGUGGGUAGCAAACAGGAUUAGAUACCCGUGUAGUC
rnacentral:rRNA from 1 species